rnacentral:rRNA from 1 species
GAGUUUGAUCAUGGCUCAGAUUGAACGCUGGCGGCAUGCCUUACACAUGCAAGUCGGACGGCAGCAUGAUCUAGCUUGCUAGAUUGAUGGCGAGUGGCGAACGGGUGAGUAAUACAUCGGAACGUGCCCUGUAGUGGGGGAUAACUAGUCGAAAGAUUAGCUAAUACCGCAUACGACCUGAGGGUGAAAGUGGGGGACCGCAAGGCCUCAUGCUAUAGGAGCGGCCGAUGUCUGAUUAGCUAGUUGGUGGGGUAAAGGCCCACCAAGGCGACGAUCAGUAGCUGGUCUGAGAGGACGAUCAGCCACACUGGGACUGAGACACGGCCCAGACUCCUACGGGAGGCAGCAGUGGGGAAUUUUGGACAAUGGGGGCAACCCUGAUCCAGCAAUGCCGCGUGUGUGAAGAAGGCCUUCGGGUUGUAAAGCACUUUUGUCCGGAAAGAAAUCGCACUUACUAAUAUUAGGUGUGGAUGACGGUACCGGAAGAAUAAGGACCGGCUAACUACGUGCCAGCAGCCGCGGUAAUACGUAGGGUCCAAGCGUUAAUCGGAAUUACUGGGCGUAAAGCGUGCGCAGGCGGUUGUGCAAGACCGAUGUGAAAUCCCCGGGCUUAACCUGGGAAUUGCAUUGGUGACUGCACGGCUAGAGUGUGUCAGAGGGGGGUAGAAUUCCACGUGUAGCAGUGAAAUGCGUAGAGAUGUGGAGGAAUACCGAUGGCGAAGGCAGCCCCCUGGGAUAACACUGACGCUCAUGCACGAAAGCGUGGGGAGCAAACAGGAUUAGAUACCCUGGUAGUCCACGCCCUAAACGAUGUCAACUAGUUGUUGGGGAUUCAUUUCCUCAGUAACGUAGCUAACGCGUGAAGUUGACCGCCUGGGGAGUACGGUCGCAAGAUUAAAACUCAAAGGAAUUGACGGGGACCCGCACAAGCGGUGGAUGAUGUGGAUUAAUUCGAUGCAACGCGAAAAACCUUACCUACCCUUGACAUGCCACUAACGAAGCAGAGAUGCAUUAGGUGCUCGAAAGAGAAAGUGGACACAGGUGCUGCAUGGCUGUCGUCAGCUCGUGUCGUGAGAUGUUGGGUUAAGUCCCGCAACGAGCGCAACCCUUGUCUCUAGUUGCUACGAAAGGGCACUCUAGAGAGACUGCCGGUGACAAACCGGAGGAAGGUGGGGAUGACGUCAAGUCCUCAUGGCCCUUAUGGGUAGGGCUUCACACGUCAUACAAUGGUGCAUACAGAGGGUUGCCAAGCCGCGAGGUGGAGCUAAUCCCAGAAAAUGCAUCGUAGUCCGGAUCGUAGUCUGCAACUCGACUACGUGAAGCUGGAAUCGCUAGUAAUCGCGGAUCAGCAUGCCGCGGUGAAUACGU